AUUUACACACGAGAAAAGGAUUCAAUAUGACUGUGUACUGAGUAACCCGACGGAUAACGAGGAAAAAUAUAAAAUAUCUUAUUAUGUAGUUGUAGAUGGAAGCCCAAAGGCGAAAACAAGUGGAAACGUGACUUUAGCAGCUCACACAAGUGAAUCAUUGAUAUACACUUUUACGCUUAAUAAGGCUGACCAAACUAUUAUAUGUUCUGCGGUAGACCAAAGCGAUCGAAAGGACGCACCUAACCCAAAAGUUGAAAUAUAUCUACAAUAUAUAACAUUGCCACCUGUAUUUCCUGUUAUAAAAACACCAAACGUGACAAGAGGGAAGUAUAUCCCGAAGAAUUUUACACAAAUAUACUAUUAUAACUUCACCGAUGGAGAAGACAUUAAAUUCGAAUGUGCUUUGAAAGAUGAUAAAGCCUACAAUUCAAUUUAUCGAAUGGCCUUAUAUUCUGAUGAUCACGAGAAUAGAACAUUUACACCAGAGAUGCCCGUCAGUCACCUUUUUAAUCUCAAAAAGGAUAAUAAAAUUAUAACGUGUAUCGUUUGGAAUUCGCAAAGUCAGCAAAAGUUGUAUAGUAUAGUAUAUCUUUACUGGAA